AUUAUCCUGGCGGCGAUAGUGCGGUGGACCCACCUGAGACCAUACCGAACUCAGAAGUGAAACGCUGUAAUGCCGAUGGUAGUGUGGGGUUUCCCCAUGUGAGAGUAGGGUACCGCCAGGUUU
rnacentral:rRNA from 1 species